AUGUAGCAGGAUUAGGUGAGCUGUGACUGACAGCUGGUAUCGCCUAUCAGAGAGUGGCAGUCCCCUUUUAAGCGGUGAUUGGCUGCUGCUCUGAAUGCGUCAUGUCCGACUUCCCCCCUGGGGGUUUGCAACGUUAGCGGCAGUGUGUUGUCUGUCGUGCUGGUGCCCUUGUGCUGUCCGUGGUGUACGUGAUGGUGUACCCUCAGUUGGCUUAUGGUUUUCCUGCUGUUGGUUAACCUGUGCCUCAAAACAGUAAAUUGUCUGGGGUGAUGCCACUUUUCGGAGUCUCCCUUUCGUUCUAUGCCGUGUCUCCCCUUGCGGUGUGUCUUUGCUUCUCGCACUACGGUGUUGCACCGUUGCUAACAACGUCAUUAGCUGCACUGGAACUGUACCUUGUCUGGUUCUGCGGAGCGGCUGGAACGCUCCACUUUUAAUGUGACCAUCACAGAGCCGUGGUGUGCUCUGUGUGAGAACGAGUACCUCUCCAGUGGCUGUUUUUUUAAUGCAUCAUCAUCAUUGUGUUUCUUUUUGUUUAUUUUCCCUUAUUGGUGACGAACAACCCCUGUGUCCGUGAAAAUUCGCUCAGAUGACCCAACGUUGCUAGUAUAUAGGAUUGUUCAUGUAGUUGGUUCCUGAGAACUGUGUUCUGACUAUAAUUGACUCCUUGUUAAUGGAGCUGGGGUCCCACGGGUGAUGGAGCUUUUCCGGUGGUGGUGCUUCCUCCUCAGGGCGUGCUGUGUAACACUUGACGUGUGUGGUUGUGUAGUCUGAGUGCACAGUGGGGUGUGUGUGUGUGCCUUUUGUAAACACGAGUCGUGAUAAAGUAAUUUCUCCUGUUGGGAACCUCAGCCCUGCUGGUUUGUAUGUUUUUGUUUGUUUUGUUUUUAUUAAUUUCUCAUUUUGAGAUUUGAUUGUGGCGAUUGUGCAUUAAAGUGGAUUGAGUUUGUAUGUCUUGGGAGGGCUCAUUUUAAGGGAUUCUGUCUAAAUAAAACCUAUUUUUGUACUAUA